rnacentral:rRNA from 1 species
CCUACGGGAGGCUGCAGGGGGGAAUAUUGGACAAUGGGCGAAAGCCUGAUCCAGCCAUGCCGCGUGUGUGAAGAAGGCCUUCGGGUGGUAAAGCACUUUCAGUGGGGAAGAAAGCCUUGGGGCUAAUACCCUCGAGGAAGGACAUCACCCACAGAAGAAGCACCGGCUAACUCCGUGCCAGCAGCCGCGGUAAUACGGAGGGUGCGAGCGUUAAUCGGAAUUACUGGGCGUAAAGCGCGCGUAGGCGGUCUGAUAAGCCGGUUGUGAAAGCCCCGGGCUCAACCUGGGAACGGCAUCCGGAACUGUCAGCCUAGAGUGCAGGAGAGGUAGGUAGAAUUCCCGGUGUAGCGGUGAAAUGCGUAGAGAUCGGGAGGAAUACCAGUGGCGAAGGCGGCCUUCUGGACUGACACUGACGCUGAGGUGCGAAAGCGUGGGUAGCAAACAGGAUUAGAUACCCCAGUAGUC